GACGAACGCUGGCGGCGUGCUUAACACAUGCAAGUCGAACGGUAAGGCCCUUCGGGGUACACGAGUGGCGAACGGGUGAGUACACGUGGGUGAUCUGCCCUGCACUUCGGGAUAAGCCUGGGAAACUGGGUCUAACACCGGAUAGGACCACUGCCUGCAUGGGUGGUGGUGGAAAGCUUUUGCGGUGUGGGAUGGGCCCGCGGCCUAUCAGCUUGUUGGUGGGGUGAUGGCCUACCAAGGCGACGACGGGUAGCCGGCCUGAGAGGGUGACCGGCCACACUGGGACUGAGAUACGGCCCAGACUCCUACGGGAGGCAGCAGUGGGGAAUAUUGCACAAUGGGCGCAAGCCUGAUGCAGCGACGCCGCGUGAGGGAUGACGGCCUUCGGGUUGUAAACCUCUUUCAGCACCGACGAAGCGCAAGUGACGGUAGGUGCAGAAGAAGGACCGGCCAACUACGUGCCAGCAGCCGCCGCAG
rnacentral:rRNA from 1 species